UACGUAGGGUGCAAGCGUUGUUCGGAAUUAUUGGGCGUAAAGAGCUCGUAGGCGGUCUGUCGCGUCGGAUGUGAAAACCCAGGGCUCAACCCUGGGUCUGCAUUCGAUACGGGCAGACUAGAGUUCGGUAGGGGAGACUGGAAUUCCUGGUGUAGCGGUGAAAUGCGCAGAUAUCAGGAGGAACACCGGUGGCGAAGGCGGGUCUCUGGGCCGAAACUGACGCUGAGGAGCGAAAGCGUGGGGAGCAAACAGG
rnacentral:rRNA from 1 species